ensembl:snoRNA small nucleolar RNA, H/ACA box 20
UUUCCCAUUUAUUUGCUGCUAUAAUCUCUUGGUGAUAUGAGCAGUUAUACGCAUGGGAUAAAACAAUAUUGGGCCAUUGUAAAUUGAGAUGAAGUCACAUUUUCAUCUCUUCUGCAUGGUCUAGACAUUG